UUCUUAUUGGAUGGAUGAUGACUAUCACAUGUCAUAUUCUGAUUGGUCAAUGAAAAUAACAAUUCAUUUCAUCUUUCAUGGAGUUGACAUACAAUCAGAACAUGAUACGUGACAGUCAUCAUCC
rfam:Glycine max cultivar Williams 82 chromosome 7, whole genome shotgun sequence.